rnacentral:lncRNA from 1 species
GUUAUUCAAAAUUUCAUUUACCAGGUGCGGAAGAAUAUUCAGUGACGUCACUUCCUAUUCAAUUCCUUUAUUAUCAGUUUCUUAAGUAUUCCUGUACAGAAGUCAUAUUUACUAGCUCUGAGGACACUGGGCUGAAUAUCUCUCAAUGCCUUAGGAGUUCAACGAGAAAAGAGAAAGCUGAAACCCGGCUGUUAGCCAAAGGCAGAUACCCCUUCAGUGAUUGCAGGUCUUCAGCCUUUCCCAGCGCCUCACACUGCCUCCUCCAGGUGUGGGCCAGAAAAGCUACGUGAACACUUUGAAUAUGCUGACCCCUGCUGACCAUAUGAAAAGGAGCUGGAUUUUAAGUGUAUUAAGGUAUGAUUGUGUAAAAAAUUAGGUGCAUUAAUGGACGACAGGAUUCAUUUGUUUCAUUUAUUUAUUUUCAAUUUUUUUGUGGGUGAUAGGGAUUGAACCCAGGGCUUUGAUCAUGUUAGGAAAACGUACCACUGAGCUACAUUCCCAGCUCCUUGUUUGUUUUUAAAGCUUCACUUCCUUGAAUUUCCUAAUUCCAGGCUCUCCAGACAGAAGAUAAUAGCCCACUCUACAAAACUGCACUUAGUUCUGUGAUAUGACUAAAGAGAUUGGUAGUAUUUGUUUACCUUAAUUGGUCAUUUACUAUGUACAAGACUUUAAGUGCUGCAGGGCACGGUGGCAAAGCAGUUUGGGAGGCUGAGGCAGGAGAAUCGUGAGUUCAAACACAGCCUCAGCAAAAGCGAGGUGCUAAGCAACUCUAUGAGACCCUAUCUCUAAGUAAAAUACAAAAUAGGGCUGGGGGUGUGGCUCAGUGGUUAAACACCCCUUGGUCCAAUUCCUGGUUUAAAUACACACACACACACUUUAAGUGGUCUUUCUGGUUAACUCAUUAAACAACUCUUCAGAGAUAGGUAAUCUCGUUUAUCAGGAAGCUAAGGACCAGAGAUUAUCUUAUUCAGGCUACAGAACUAGUGAGUAGUGGAGCCAGGAUUCAAAUCCAGGCAAUCUGAUUCCAGAACACAUGCUGGAACACACAGAAUUGAGAAGGCAUUUUUUUUUUAAGAGAGAGAGAGAGAAAGAAAGAGAAUUUUAAUAUUUAUUUUUCAGUUUUCAGCGGACACAACAUCUUUGUUUGUAUGUGGUGCUGAGGAUCGAACCUGGACCGCACGCAUGCCAGGCGAUCGAGCUACUGCUUGAGCCACAUCCCCAGCCCAAGAGAAGGCAAUUUUUCAACAACCAGAGAGAAGUGGAAUUUGAGGCCAGAUAGAGUAGUAACAUGGGGUAGUGCAAGAAGCAGGGACCUAAAGAUCAGAAAAGCUACUUUGGGCCUCAUGCACUAUUCCACAGUCCUAUAACCCUGAAAAGAAAAGCUAAAAAUAAUAGGCUAUGAUAAGCCAUGAAAAGUAAAUAACAAAGAUAUAUUUAGGGGUCUUGUAAAAGAGGAAGAAAGUCAUUUCAUGUGUAUAGGAGGUAUGUGAAAUUGCCCAGGAGGAAGGAUGACAGGAACAAAAGGUGCCCUGUGGGCUUCUCUGAUUCAGACCCUUACAGAUUUAAGUCUGGGGUCUCCUUGCUGGUCUCUGGGCGCCUAGCCUUUUGCCUUUCCCAUCCAUCCUUUGUGACAGUCUGUUGUAGUGAAAAGAAAUGAUGGGCUGGGGUUGUGGCUCAAGUGGUGGCACGCUUGCCUGGCAUGCGUGCAGCCCGGGUUCGAUCCUCAGCACCACAUACAAACAAAGAUGUUGUGUCCACCGAAAGCUAAAAAAUAAAAAUAUUAAAAAAUUCUCUCUCUCUCUCUUUAAAAAAUUAAAAAAAAAAGAAAUGAGAAAUCAGGAGGUUUAGGUUUCAGACUUGUCUGCCACUGACUCAACUGUGUGACCUUCAGUAAGUUCCCUCCUAUCUCUGGGCCUCAGCUUUCUCUGACUAUAUUCUGUGGAACGGUAUUCCCACAAAAUGCCCUAUGGGGGAAAAAUAAGAAUUUUCCUCCAUGUCCCUUAGAGAGUCCCUUUAACACAUUUAAGAUACAGGGCAGUCUUCAGAAAGAAACCUAAGGCCAGAUGUAGUGGUAUAUGCCUGUUGUCCCAGCUAUUUGGGAUGCUGAAGCAGGAGGAUCCCUUGAGCCCAUGAUUUGGGGACCAACCUAGGUGAGACUCUUACUCCAAAAAAAAGAAAAGAAAGAAAAAGAAAAGAAAAGGGAAGAAGAAAGAAAGAAUCAGGUGUAAUGGCACAUGUCUGUAAUCCCAAGUAGGAAGCUGAGUCAGGAGAACUUCAAGUUCAAUGCCAGCUUGGGCAACUUAGCAAGACCCUAUCUCAGAUUAAAAAAAAAAAAAAGGGCUGGGGAUGUACCUCAGUGGUCGAGCACCACUGGAUUCAAUCCCUAGUACCAGAAAGAGAGAAUGAGGCUGAGGAUGUAGCUCAGGGAUAGAGUGCUUUCCUAGCAUGUCUGAGGCCCUGAGUUCCAUCCCCAAUACUGAAAAAGGAGGGGAGGGAGAGGGGAAGGAAAGAACUGCAUCCACUGCUUACCAAACCGUGCUUAAAACACUGACCCACAGGAGUUUUAGAGGCUUAAAAGCCCACCCCAGGGCUACCCAGGAACUGGCUCCUCCAUCUUCCUCUUCACUCGACCAAAACCUGAAACCAUCAUUCCAGCCUCCUUUGAUGCUCCCCACGUUUAGCCCAUGAAGGAAGCAGGUGCUUCUUGUUAACCUCUAGCCUCAUCUGCAACUCUCCAUCUCCACCCUUCCUCUAUCCUCCUCUGUAGUUCAUUCUCAGAGCAGCCAAAGUGUGUUUGUUUGUUUAAUGCAAAUCAGAUCUAAUUAACAUGCUGCCUAAACCCCCAGUGGUUUACAGGAAGCACAUACAGGAGUCAACUUCACACACAAAAAGGGACAGUGGUUGCCAGUAGUUGCGGAGAGGGAGGAAUAUGGAGUCAGUGUUUCAUGGGUGCAGAAUUUUAAUUGGGGAAAAUGAAGAAGUUCUGGAGCCUGAUUGGGUUUUUAUUUCUUUGUUGUUGUUGUUGUUGUUUUAAAUUUUUUGUUGUAAUUGUAGUUGAACAAAAUGCCUUUAUUUUAUUUGUUAAUUUUUAGGUGGUGCUGAGGAUCGAACCCAGUGCCUCAUGCAUGCUAGGCAAGCGCUUUGCCACUGAUCUACAGCCCCAGCCCAUGAUGGUUUUGAUAGUCAUAAAACAAUUUGAAUGUAUAGCCACAUGAUGAGGUUUUAGUCCAUAGCAAGUACAACAACUGUCCCAAGGGAUUAUGUUGCCAGGUGAUGUCAAAUCCUUCUUAGUUAAGUACUCUAUGAUAUUCACACAACAAUUAAGUGGCCUAAGGCAGCAUUCCUCAGAAUGAGCCCCUGUGCUAAGCAUGACUGUAUUUAUAGCCACUGUACCAUAUUCUUAAAAAUAGUUUAGGUGGGACUGGGGAGUAUGGCUCAAUGGUAGAGCAAUCGACAAGUAUGUACAAGGCCCUGGAUUUAAUCCAUAGCACUGUACAGACACAAUCCUGAUAUAUUUAGAAUCAAGUCCAAACUUUGCAUUCUUGCAACCAGAGCUUCUGUGACCUGCCCCUUCCCCUUCUCCAACCCCAUCUGUAAAUCUGUACUCUGCUCUUGGGUCCAAACACAAGUGUCUUUUCUGUACCUCUCCCAAACUCAUUCCUAGUUCAGAAGGUUCACUUGCUGUUCCCUGUACCCCCUACUUUUUCCAUCCCCAAACCCGCAGCCCCAAGACCCUUUCCUCUCCAACUCCCAUGGCUCCUCAACAGAUCUGUAGGGUCUAGGCUUCUUCCACAAAUCUCACUUCACAUGCUUUGCAAAGACAUCUUCUGACAACACCUAUCAAACAGUCCUGCUUUUGUUCAGGAACUUCCUAUGGUUCCUCAGUGCCUGCAAAAUAAACUUCAGACUCUUCUGCUGGGAUGGGUUAUUCUCUCAGAUUGACCUGUUAUAGCUUAGAUAUGAGAUGUCCCCUAAGGUCAUGUGUGAGACAAUGCAAGAAGGUUCAGAAGUAAAAUGAUUAGAUUAUGAGAGCUUGAAUCUAAUCAAUGGAUUAAUCCACUGAUGUGGAUUAACUGGAUUAUAAUUGAAGUGGCACCCUCUUUCUCCCUAGAAAAGACUUUAACUGGGCUUCUCCAGAAAUAUUCACCCAGAGUGAUUUUAGGACUAUCAGCAAAAGAGUCUCUGCAAAAGAGUUCAGUGAAGAUAAACUUCCUAUUUUCCCGUCGCCCUGUUUUACUUGGCCACUGGCUAAGAAGAUACCAGCACUCCAGAUGCUGGACACCCCUUAUUAGUUUUCACAAACAUAUCUGUUAGAUGCAGGGCAGGCUGAAGUAAGUUAUCUGCAGGGCAGGCUGAACGAAUGUUAGCUGCAGGAGAACCCACGCACUCAAGCCCCCCUCUGUCUGGUCCUUUAUCACCUGUUUGCAUCAAGGCUGAACACUCAACCCCCACCAGUCUGGUGCAACGGAAACCCACAUCUAGCCCCUGCCCCGUCUGCCUGAAGGCAGAAGAUGACACUACAGUAUGAUCUAAUCACUGUAGGCCAACAAGGCAGCUUACAGACCCAGAGACCCCAUUAGAUUUGGGCUAUAAAAACUCCCUCCCGCCGGGCCCCUCUCUCUUGCUCUUGCUCUUUCUUCAGUUCUCCCUCUCACUCUCUCCUCUCCUCUUCUCUCUCUCUCUGCUCCCCCCCUUUCUUCUCUCUUUCCCCACUCUUUCGUUCUCUUUUUCUCCUCUUUUGCAUUGCUGCAAUAAAGAUCUCUUGGUUGCUCCGAGUGUUGUGGUCACUUUCCUUUCAAUAUCCAGUAUAGUACUUUGAAGAAAUGUGCAAACAAGGCCUCUGCCCUUGAGCUGGGCUUCACAGAGAUGUCUACAUUUUUAAGAUAAGAGAAGUUACCGGGCUGGGGCUGUAGCUCAGUGGUAGAGUGCCUGCCUUGCAUGUUUGAAGUACUGGGUUCAAUCCUCAGCACCACAUAAAAAUAAAUAAAGAUAUUAUGGCCAUCUACAAUUAAAAAUUAAAAAAAAAAAAAGAGAAGUUACCAAUUGGGCUCCAUGGUAACAGCUGGCAGGGGAGGAAAGAAGGGGAGAAGAAGCUCUCCCCUUCUCAGGUGUUGUCCUUGAAAGGUUAACUUGCCCAAAAUAGUGAAAGAAAAAGCUGCUUUUAUGUGAACUUCUGCAGACUGUGAACUUCUGAGCCCCUCUCCUUACACACUGGGUAUAAAACUCUGAAACUCCCUGAACUCGGGGUUCAGGGGAUUGAUUGAUGACAGCAAAAGCUGUGCCCUCUGAACCUGGCUGCAGCCAAAUACAACUGUUUCCUGCUAUCUUCGGUGCCUUGCCUCGUUUGUCCCUGCAGCAUAAUGAUAGGUAGGAUGUGGCUGCAAGAUAUAGGUCACUGGGUGCUUAACUUUAGGGUAUUUACUUUCAACCUGAACAGAACACUUCCUCUCUCCCUCCCUCUCCCUCUUUCUCUCCCCCGUCCCCUUUUCUCCAUCUCUCCUUCCUGGCUGUCAUGUCUCAGCUGCUGUCCUCCACCAGGCCCUUCCGCCUUAACAUUCGAGCUAUGGAGUUGGUCAGCCAUGGACUGAACCUCUGAAAUUUUCAGCCAAAAUAAAUUUUUCCUCCCCUACAUUGUUCUCUUCGGGUCUUUCAGUCACAGUGACACAAAGCUGACUAAAACAUGACCCCAUCCCUCAGCUGCCUGUUUUCCCUUAUUCCAUUCUAGGUCUUCAUGUUUUAGUCAAGUGGAACUGCUGACCAUUCCACAUGCAGGUCUACCUAGUCUAUUGAAAAUUUUGUCAUUCUUCAAGUCCGGUGUGCUCCACCUCCUCUGGGAAGCCUUCCUAGAUUCAGAAGACCUGCCCAAGUCUCUUCGAGGUCCUCCCACAUAUUAUUUUGUAAUAACAAUAACCAAUGCUUAUUAAACGCUAAUGUGAAGCCAGAUCCUGGGGAAGCUGAGUCAGAGAAUUGCUUGACUCAAGGAAUUUGAGACUAAUCUGGGCACAGUAGUGAGACUCCACCAAAAAAAGGGGGUAGGGGCUAGGGGUAUAGCUUGGUGGUAGAGCAUUUCCCUAGCAUGUGCAAGGCCCUGAGUUUGAUCCCUACUACUGCAAAACAAAAACAAAUCAAAAUAAAAACAAAACAAAAAACCAC